GACGAACGCUGGCGGCGCGCUUAACACAUGCAAGUCGAGCGAGAACCAGUCCUUCGGGACUGGGACAGCGGCGAACGGGUGAGUAACACGUGGGUAAUCUGCCCUCGAUUCUGGGAUAGCCCGGGGAAACCCGGAUUAAUACCGGAUAGCCUCUCGAGCUUUCGAGCUUGUGAGAAAAGGUAGCUUCGGCCUCCGAUCGAGGAUGAGCCCGCGGCGGAUUAGCUUGUUGGUGGGGUAANGGCCUACCAAGGCGACGAUCCGUAGCUGGUCUGAGAGGACGAUCAGCCACACUGGGACUGAGACACGGCCCAGACUCCUACGGGAGGCAGCAGUGGGGAAUCUUGCGCAAUGGGCGAAAGCCUGACGCAGCGACGCCGCGUGGGGGAAGAAGGCC
rnacentral:rRNA from 1 species